rnacentral:misc_RNA from 1 species
AAGGAUAAAGUUAUCAUCUUCAGUUUUGAGAGACUUAAGAAAGUUUUUCAUUUUUUAAGAUUCGGGCCUAUAGCUCAGCUGGUUAGAGCACACGCCUGAUAAGCGUGAGGUCGGUGGUUCAAGUCCAUUUAGGCCCACCA